rnacentral:misc_RNA from 1 species
GAUGAAGAACGCAGCGAAAUGCGAUACGUAAUGUGAAUUGCAGAAUUCAGUGAAUCAUCGAAUCUUUGAACGCAUAUUGCGCUCUCUGGUAUUCCGGAGAGCAUGCUUGUUUGAGUAUCAGUAAACACCUCAACUUCCAUAUCUUUUUUGAAAUGGGAGUUGGACUUGAGUGAUCCCAACGCUUUUCCUCACCGAAAAGUGGCGGGUUACUUGAAAUGCAGGUGCAGCUGGACUUUUCUCUGAGCUAUAAGCAUAUCUAUUUAGUCUGCCUAAAAAACAGAUUAUUACCUUUGCUGCAGCUAACAUAAAGGAGAUUAGUUCUUGUGCUGACUGAUNNNGGAUUCACAAAGACAGGCUUCGGCCGACUUUGUAAACUCGAUCUCAAAUCAAGUAAGACUACCCGCUGAACUUAAGCAUAUCAAUAAGCGGAGGA